CACCUAGCCACCAUGUGCAUGACCAAAGCCCUGAGGCUGCCAGUAAGAGAAAAGAACUACUUGAUCUUAAAGCAAGAACUAUGAAGGAAAGGUGAAGAAAGGAAGGAAAAUCCAUGAUAAUUCAUCAUAUAUCAUAAGACAUCAGCAUCUGGAUAUAAGAACCAUGCCAGGCACUGUGACUCUAAACAGAGAGCGAAGAAGUCCUCUACGAGCCCCAUGGGUUUACAGAAGUCUAUCAAUCUCUCUGUCCAUCUUCCGGAUCAUUAUUCAAGUUACUGUUCCCAAUUUUGCUGGGUAUAUGAGAUCUAGCCCAGCUCCGUAGAUCAUUUUUCUUCCUAGUGGAUUAGGAAUUUGUUCUCUUUAAAUUAUCUCUGAGCUAAUAUGCUGCUCAAAAAAGUAGUAGGAAUGUCAACAUCACCUGUGUUUGCUUUGCGUAUGUGUUUAUAUAUCUACCUCCCCACCCUUGUACUGUGAUUGCCAUAUGAGAACUUAAAGUUAUGAAUGGAACUAGUAGCAGAAUUCAGUUGUAAUGUCAUUAUUUUCUUAUUUCUAUUGACAUAUUGUUUCAGCUCUCUCAAGGAUCUGUAUGUUUUUUGAGGUCAAGAAAGACAAUUUGAAAGUGUCCCUAUUGAUGUAAAAAAAUAUACAAGUGUUUAGUCAUUUUAUCAGGAAUAAUCAAUAAGCUGAAGAAUUUAUGUGGAUGCUUACCAAAUUUAAUCCGCAAAACAGAAAAGUAUAUUGAAUAAAAGCUAAGAUGGUUAUUGCAUGUCUUUGAAAAA
rnacentral:sRNA from 1 species